ACCCGCUGAACUUAAGCAUAUCAAUAAGCGGAGGAAAAGAAACCAACAGGGAUUGCCUUAGUAACGGCGAGUGAAGCGGCAACAGCUCAAAUUUGAAAUCUGGCCUCUUUGGGGUCCGAGUUGUAAUCUGCAGAGGGCGCUUUGGCGUUGGCAGCGGUCCAAGUUCCUUGGAACAGGACGUCACAGAGGGUGAGAAUCCCGUACGUGGUCGCUAGCCUUCGCCGUGUAAAGCCCCUUCGACGAGUCGAGUUGUUUGGGAAUGCAGCUCUAAAUGGGAGGUAAAUUUCUUCUAAAGCUAAAUACUGGCCAGAGACCGAUAGCGCACAAGUAGAGUGAUCGAAAGAUGAAAAGCACUUUGGAAAGAGAGUCAAACAGCACGUGAAAUUGUUGAAAGGGAAGCGCUUGCAGCCAGACUUGCCUGUAGUUGCUCAUCCGGGCUUUUGCCCGGUGCACUCUUCUGCGGGCAGGCCAGCAUCAGUUUGGGCGGUUGGAUAAAGGUCUCUGUCAUGUACCUCUCUUCGGGGAGGCCUUAUAGGGGAGACGACAUGCAACCAGCCCAGACUGAGGUCCGCGCAUUUGCUAGGAUGCUGGCGUAAUGGCUGU
rnacentral:rRNA from 1 species